CACACAGAGACAGCCCCACAAUGGCUGUCCAAAAUGUCGGAAAAGGGGAAACGGAAAUGAAGGGGCGGGGCGAAAAAAGCAGAAGCCGCAACAAAAACAAGCAAAGCGAAAGACGAAACUCGUUUUGGCCUUUUGCUGGUUACAAAACGCGCCAUAAUUUUAAGUUACCAGCACUGAGAGAAAAUGGGGUGUUAAUUUAAUAUUAAAUAUUAAGAAUAUAUUGGCUAACUUUUUAUUAAACUCUUAUUUAUGUCAAUAAAUUCUAGUUUUUAUCAGCUCUAAAAUUAUUUAAGUAUAAAUUUCUACAAGUUUUCUUUAAAAAUUAAAAAUUUUAGUUUAUUUCAUUAAACUACGACCAACAGGUGGCUCUAUACCUAAUUGCAUAUAGCACUUUUUGCUAUUAACAUGUUUAUUUUGAAAUUAACAGCCCUGGCUAACAUAGUAGCGUCUUGUUAUGCGAGUUCUUAUGCUAGUAUAAUAGUUUAAUUUUCACUUCUCAACCAUAAUAUUCCACAUCUAUUAUUGUCUGAUCUAUAACAUUCAAAUUAUUUAUUAUUUUAUGAUAUUUAUCCACUCUUCCUUCGAUUUACGGUGUUAUUUAAUAUUUAUUUAUCUUAAAACAUUUCAAAUGCUUUAACAGAGAAGUAAGAACAACAGGAAAGAGGAGAAGCAAAACGACGAUCGUUGCAGCGCUGCCGCCAUCCGCUCUAUCCAAACUACGUUUUUGGUAGAACAGUUUUCAGUCUAACCGAGUCGCCCGUCUAGGUAAGAUGCACAUUUUGUUGCUGAUGCUCAGAAGUGUUAAAAAAAAUAUAAAAAUUGUGCAUAAAAAGUGAUCGUAGGGCAGUGUUUUAAGUUUUGUGUAAUUUAUAAAUAAUGUUUCUUGUGAACUUUUUAGGCCUAAAAGUUAAAAUAACUCCGCGUUAUAAGUGAAAGUGUGUGUGUGUGAGCAUCUGCAUAUAUGGAUGUACAUAUGUACAUAGAUAUGCAAAAGCAAAUGCAAAUCAAUAUGUACAUAUGUACAUAAAUAUAUACGAGUGCCUAAGCAUUGAUAUUGUUAAAGAAGAUAUUAAUUGUGAUUCUACCUAGCAUUAACUUUAGUUUAAACUGAUUUAAAAGCGUCGGUAAAGAGGAGAGAAGAAAAAACUGGGAGGGGGAGAUCUUCGGAAGGAAUAUUAUUUGAAACUAUAGUCAUCUCUUUCCCACCUGCGAUACAAAGUCCGUUUUUCGUUUUGCUUUUGCCUUUCGGGUUACAUUCACAGUUUUGGCGCCACUUCAGUAAAUUUCCAUUCACAAAUUGCUUUUAUUUUUAGAAACUGUUAAACAUUGACUAACUAAUAUAUGUAAAUUAGGUGAUCGUAUUAUUAUGUUAUUAAUAAUUUUUAAUUUUCAUUGUUUCAGAGGCGAGUUUAUGUAUUUUCUAUGCCAAAAUGGAAGUGGAGCUUCGCGGGACUGGUGAAAAUCUAUGUACAACCUUUUAACAUAUUUAUGUACAUACAUUAUGUACAUUUGGAUAUAUAACUAUGUAAAUAUGAGGAACAUAAGCAGGAAAACUGGAAAUCGACUUGGAAAUGCGAAGCUUGUCUGGAAAAAGAAGGAAAUGUUUUCACUCAUCAGAAAUAUCAGCAAUCAAAGCAAAGUUCUACCAAUCUCCGCGGGACAAGAGGAAAUCUUUUUACUCAUUGGAAAUAUCAAAAAUCAAACUGGAAAAUGGAAAAGCCAAGCUCUGCCAAGCUCCUCGGGAGAAGCAGAAAUCUUUUUACUCAUCAGAAAUAUCAACAAUCAAACUCUACAAUCAACCAAUCCUACUAAAAAGCUCAAAAAAUAUGGAAAAUUUCUUCACGUGUGUGGAUUCUAAAGCAGUGCAGAUGCUGGCAAUAGCUGGGAGCUAUGGAACCUAAGCAAAGUUUAAAAAGGAGCCACUGCCGAGAAGGUACCUGCUUGCACUGCUUGCGAUCAGAUCAAGAACUGCUUGUUGUUUUGUAAGGAAAACAAGACAAGAUCUCCCCUCACUCCGGUAAGUAG